GUCCACACCAUGAGAGUUGGAAAUACCCGAAGCCUGUGAGCUAACAGUAAUGAGGCAGCAGUCGAAGGUAGAGCCAAUGAUUGGGGUGAAGUCGUAACAAGGUAGC
rnacentral:rRNA from 1 species